rnacentral:rRNA from 1 species
CCGCCCUGUUUUUUCAAAAACAUCGCCUCUUGCAAAAUAAAUGAAUAAGAGGUCCCGCCUGCCCUGUGACUAUAUGUUCAACGGCCGCGGUAUUUUGACCGUGCGAAGGUAGCGCAAUCACUUGUCUUUUAAAUGAAGACCUGUAUGAAUGGCAUCACGAGGGCUUAGCUGUCUCCCCCUCCCAGUCAAUGAAAUUGAUUUUCCCGUGCAGAAGCGGGAAUAAGAACAUAAGACGAGAAGACCCUAUGGAGCUUAAGACGCCAGGACAGCUCAUGUUAAACACCCCAGAACAAAGGGAAUAAACUUAGUGAAACCCUGCCCUAGUGUCUUUGGUUGGGGCGACCACGGGGAAAAACUUAACCCCCAUGCGGAAUAGGAAUACUAUUUUCCUAGACUCAAGAGCUCCCGCUCUAAUAGACAGAAUUUCUGACCAAAAGGAUCCGGCAAUGCCGAUCAACGGACCGAGUUACCCUAGGGAUAACAGCGCAAUCCUCUUUAAGAGUCCCUAUCGACAAGAGGGUUUACGACCUCGAUGUUGGAUCAGGACAUCCUAAUGGUGCAGCCGCUAUAAGGGUUCGUGGCAUAGCUUUGGC